CAGCAAUGGAGACAGGCAAAGGUCAGGCAUUCAGGCAAACAGUCUAGAGCAGGUAAGACAGAUAAUCAGAGUUGAGGACAAAACAGAACCAGAACCAGAAUAACACAGCAAUAGGAAGGAGUAGUAACGACUAGAACAACUGAGUGUUUAGUCGCAAAGUGUGUGGUGAACAUCUGUGUGUGAGAUGAAGACUCCGGUGUUCCUGCACUUCACUGUUUGGGGAAUAGAGGACAUAUUUAUAAACACAUCACUCAUUUAAUUAUAACACAUUAAACAGACUCAGAGACGUGAGAAGUGUGUGUUCAUCAUGCACAGUAAAUCAGACUGCACACAAUUCUACACUGAGUGUAUAAUGACCUCUGACCCUUGGACAAAGUUCCCCAGACCUCAAUAUCAUAAAAAACCUGCAGGUGAAAAAGCAGCUGAAAAAGCACACGACAUCAAACUGCACCCAGUCAAUGGAAGAGAGCACUAAAAUGGACAGGAACUGUUUCAAGACAUUGGUGGAAAUCUCACCUGACAGGAUUGGCAUCUGAGGAGUUUAUCUGAUGAAGCCUCUAGGAGACUCACUACAAGUCACAUUUAUCACUUUGUCCUUGGGUUGAUUAAUGUACCAGUCGUUGUAUGCUUAGUAUCAGCACUCUUGGAAUGUAGCUUGUCCAAUCAAAUUAAUUGACCGGAACAAACCAUUGUAUAAUAUUUAAUGGUUUAUAUGAUUUUUCUGUUUUUAUGUGAUUAAUAGUUGUUUAGUAACAUGCACAGUGUAGCUGUUUUGCUGGAUAUAUAACUAAAAUUAUAUUGUAUUUAAGUACUUACAAUGUCAUGCCUAAUUGUAUGAAUCAAACACAUUUUGAAGAAAUAAAAUGCAUAAAUACAAUGUUAUUAUUUUUGUUGUUUAAAUUGAGUAUUUAACAGAAAUUUUGUAGCAAAAUAAUUUUUCAACAGUUCUUCAAAAAUAAAUUAUAUUGUUCCACUGGG